ACGCUGGCGGCAGGCCUAACACAUGCAAGUCGAGCGGUAGAGAGAAGCUUGCUUCUCUUGAGAGCGGCGGACGGGUGAGUAAUGCCUAGGAAUCUGCCUGGUAGUGGGGGAUAACGUUCGGAAACGGACGCUAAUACCGCAUACGUCCUACGGGAGAAAGCAGGGGACCUUCGGGCCUUGCGCUAUCAGAUGAGCCUAGGUCGGAUUAGCUAGUUGGUGAGGUAAUGGCUCACCAAGGCGACGAUCCGUAACUGGUCUGAGAGGAUGAUCAGUCACACUGGAACUGAGACACGGUCCAGACUCCUACGGGAGGCAGCAGUGGGGAAUAUUGGACAAUGGGCGAAAGCCUGAUCCAGCCAUGCCGCGUGUGUGAAGAAGGUCUUCGGAUUGUAAAGCACUUUAAGUUGGGAGGAAGGGCAUCAACCUAAUAUGUUAGUGUUUUGACGUUACCGACAGAAUAAGCACCGGCUAACUCUGCGCCAGCAGCCGCGGUAAUACAGAGGGUGCAAGCGUUAAUCGGAAUUACUGGGCGUAAAGCGCGCGUAGGUGGUUUGUUAAGUUGGAUGUGAAAUCCCCGGGCUCAACCUGGGAACUGCAUUCAAAACUGACUGACUAGAGUGUGGUAGAGGGUGGUGGAAUUUCCUGUGUAGCGGUGAAAUGCGUAGAUAUAGGAAGGAACACCAGUGGCGAAGGCGACCACCUGGACUAAUACUGACACUGAGGUGCGAAAGCGUGGGGAGCAAACAG
rnacentral:rRNA from 1 species